rnacentral:misc_RNA from 1 species
ACGUGUACUUCACUCGGCGGCGGCGUGAUUGUGCUUCGUGAAGAUAUACGUGCAAGUUAGCUUGAAGACUUCUGUGAAGAUCUGUGCAUGUGAUUGCUGGUGCAUCCGCUUGCAUGGUGUGCUGUGCUAUUUUCCAACAGUUCUUUUCAGAGCUAACAAUCUUGUUUCGCGAACAUUAAAACAGCUCUUUUCAGAGCUAUGUGCUUUCUGUUUCAC